rnacentral:misc_RNA from 1 species
UCCGGUUUGUCACCGGCAGUCUCAUUAGAGUGCCCUUGCGUAGCAACUAAUGAUAAGGGUUGCGCUCGUUGCGGGACUUAACCCAACAUCUCACGACACGAGCUGACGACAGCCAUGCAGCACCUGUGUCCAGGCUCUCUUUCGAGCACCCCCGCGUCUCUGCGGGGUUCCUGGCAUGUCAAGGGUAGGUAAGGUUUUUCGCGUUGCAUCGAAUUAAUCCACAUCAUCCACCGCUUGUGCGGGUCCCCGUCAAUUCCUUUGAGUUUUAAUCUUGCGACCGUACUCCCCAGGCGGAUCACUUCACGCGUUAGCUUCGGUACAGGAAAAUCGCUUCUCCAACACCUAGUGAUCAUCGUUUAGGGCGUGGACUAC